UCCCCUUCCCCCUCAGCUCCAUUGGAGGCUACAGCUGCCCUCUACACUAUACAGUUUGCAGUAUAUUUCUUCUUCUCGGAGGAGGAUGAACGGAUUUCCAGCACCCUAUUUUCAACAUCGAGGAGGAUGAACAUUCUACGAAAUCAAAAGGACCCCUUAAGUUCUACAACUCAGAGGCUGCACUUGGGGAAUCAAAGAAAAGUGAAAGUGCCAUGUCAAAGUUGAUGACCAGAAGCUUGCUAUUGGAACCCUCUCUAUUGAAAAAUACCCCUAGAUAGAAAUUGAUUUGGUUUUCAAUAAAGAGUAUGAAGAGAAGGAGCUAAACAUUCCAGUAAUCAAGGAAAAUGCUAACUGGGAGGUGUUGCGGCUCCUCUGCAACUGCACGUACCUUGGUUAGCCUUACUCAACCUCUUGCAUCCCCUCUUGCUUGCUUUCUCUAACUGUAGGGAUUUCUCGAGUUAGGAUUCUGUUUGCUUCUCACGGUGGGCUUAAUCAUUAGUUAGAGAGAUCUAGCAAUAGCUCCAACAUAUUGCCACGGGAAAACAUGCACAACAAGGUUAUUAAUUUCUUACAAACAUCCAUGAUACUCCUGAUAUCUCUGUCCUUUUGUGUGGAUCCACAAUAUCAACCAUUUUGCUUGGUGCAAGUGGAUCAGUUCCGAUCUGUAGGUUUCUGUACAAAAAUGCACUCCAAAAGUGUUUUUGGAUCAACAAAUGUUUUUAUAAUUCACGGCGGGAGGAUAAACUGAAAA